rnacentral:rRNA from 1 species
UACGUAGGGGGCAAGCGUUGUCCGGAUUCAUUGGGCGUAAAGAGCGUGUAGGCGGCCAGGUAGGUCGGUUGUGAAAACUGGAGGCUCAACCUUCAGAGGUCGACCGAAACCAUCUGGCUAGAGUCCGGGAGAGGAGAGUGGAAUUCCUGGUGUAGCGGUGAAAUGCGCAGAUAUCAGGAAGAACACCCGUGGCGAAAGCGGCCCUCUGGAACGGUACUGACGCUGAGACGCGAAAGCGUGGGGAGCGAACAGG